GACAGAGGGUGCAAACGUUGUUCGGAAUCACUGGGCGUAAAGCGUGUGUAGGCGGCUUCUCAAGUCGGGUGUGAAAUCCCAGGGCUCAACCCUGGAAGUGCAUUCGAAACUGGGUAGCUAGAGUACUGGAGAGGAAGGUGGAAUGCUUGGUGUAGAGGUGAAAUUCGUAGAUAUCAAGCGGAACACCGGUGGCGAAGGCGGCCUUCUGGACAGUAACUGACGCUGAGACGCGAAAGCGUGGGGAGCAAACAGG
rnacentral:rRNA from 1 species